rnacentral:rRNA from 1 species
ACUUGUUUUAAGAUGGCUCAACGCCUAUCAGGCUGUGUAGGUAAUGGCUAGCAAGCGACGAACGGGUAGGCGCUUGAGAGGUGACGGCCACACUGGACUGAGACACGACCAGACUCCUACGGGAGGCAGCAGUGGGGAUAUGCACAAUGGGCGCAAGCUGAUGCAGCGACGCCGCGUGAGGGAUGACGGCCAUCGGGUGUAAACCUCUGUUAGCAUCGAAGAAGCGAAAGUGACGGUAGGUGCAGAGAAAGCGCCGGCUAACUACGUGCCAGCAGCCGCGGUAAUACGUAGGGCGCGAGCGUUGUCCGGGAAUUAUUGGGCGUAAAGAGCUUGUAGGCGGUUGGUCGCGUCUGCUGUGAAAGGCCGGGGCUUAACUCCGGUUUUGCAGUGGGUACGGGCUAACUAGAGUGCAGUAGGGGAGACUGGAAUUCCUGGUGUAGCGGUGGAAUGCACAGAUAUCAGGAGGAACACCGAUGGCGAAGGCAGGUCUCUGGGCUGUAACUGACGCUGAGAAGCGAAAGCAUGGGGAGCGAACAGGAUUAGAUACCCUGGUAGUCCAUGCCGUAAACGUUGGGCACUAGGUGUGGGGGACAUUCCACGUUUUCCGCGCCGUAGCUAACGCAUUAAGUGCCCCGCCUGGGGAGUACGGCCGCAAGGCUAAAACUCAAAGGAAUUGACGGGGGCCCGCACAAGCGGCGGAGCAUGCGGAUUAAUUCGAUGCAACGCGAAGAACCUUACCAAGGCUUGACAUGCAUUAGAUCGCGUCAGAGAUGGCGUUUCCCUUCGGGGCUGGUGUACAGGUGGUGCAUGGUUGUCGUCAGCUCGUGUCGUGAGAUGUUGGGUUAAGUCCCGCAACGAGCGCAACCCUCGUUCUAUGUUGCCAGCGGUUCGGCCGGGGACUCAUAGGAGACUGCCGGGGUCAACUCGGAGGAAGGUGGGGAUGACGUCAAAUCAUCAUGCCCCUUAUGUCUUGGGCUUCACGCAUGCUACAAUGGCCGGUACAGAGGGUUGCGAUACUGUGAGGUGGAGCUAAUCCCUUAAAGCCGGUCUCAGUUCGGAUUGGGGUCUGCAACUCGACCCCAUGAAGUCGGAGUCGCUAGUAAUCGCAGAUCAGCAACGCUGCGGUGAAUACGUUCCCGGGCCUUGUACACACCGCCCGUCAAGUCACGAAAGUUGGUAACACCCGAAGCCGGUGGCCUAACCCUUGUGGGGGAGCCGUCGAAGGUGAUACCAUA